UGUGGAACUUAUUAUAACUAUAAACCAUUUGAAUUUUGCUAGUCAAUCUUUUAAAAUUUUGAUUUUACUAACUAACCUUUCAAUUUGAGUAAUUUGAGUUAAUCAACGACAUUUUCAUUUCAAAAGUUAAACAUAUUGUUAAUUUUUACAAAUUUAGUUAGUAUAUUUUAGAAAAAACUUCAAAUACCGCCCAUGUGGUUUCGCACUUUCUCACUUUAGUACCAUGUGGUUUAAAGUGUAUCAAUUUCGUACCUCGUGAUUUUAUUUUAUUUUUUUAUUAUCCCCUCCAUUAAUUUUUUUUCAUUAAAUCAGUGAACUAAAACGUAUUAAAGUGAAUAUUCAAUAAAUCUAUGUAGGGUGUCUGAAAUUUUUGUAUAUAAUUUAACGAAAUAUUAACGGAGUAGCUGGCGAAAAGAGAAAAAUAAAACCACAGGGUACUAAUUGAUAUAUUUUAAACCACAGGAUACUAAGUACCACAGGAAUGAUAUCUGAAGUUACACUAUAUUUUAUACAAUUCUCAUAACUAUAAGUUUAUUAAAAUAUAUAAUUAGCCUAAAUUUUAGAGUCAAAAUACAGCUGAGUAACUCAAAACAAAGAGAAAUUAAAAAUUAAAUAA
rnacentral:lncRNA from 1 species